CUUCCUCCCUCCACGCCUCCUCCUCCUCCUCCUCUCCUCCUCGUCCUCCUCCCCCUCUCCUUUCUCCGCAGCCCCGGCGUACCGAGCGAGCCGGCCCUGCAGCGGCCGAUCAUCCGGGCUCGGGCCCCGCGCGGCGGCCGGCAAUCUGAGACAGUGGGAGCGACGCGAGUCCCCGCCGGCACCGGGCCCACGAGGGCUAGCCUGGGAGCGCCGUGGGCGCGGGACGGCUGCGGCUCCGGCUGGUAGUUGUCUGAGUUUAAGAGAGUAGAGGGAUCCUUAGCCGGAUUGCUACAGCCUAGGCUGGGCACUGGCCGGAUCGAACCCCAGGAAAGGGAGGCGAACGCGUGGAAUUUCCGCAAACUGGACGAGAAUCCAUCUUCCACUCGAGCUGGGAACAGACUUUGUAAAAAAAGAUAUUAUGUAAUGGAGUCUUGGGAAGCCCGAGACGUCUCCAGCCAAACUGCUGGUGGGUUUGAGUGCCUUAAAUGGGCUAGGUGAAUAUUCUGAGCCGGGAUAGGGUUGGGGAGGGCUUGUAGCUCGGCUGAAUUUUAACGAUGUACAUUCUGUGUGUCUGUGCGGAGGUGCUGUCUCAUGGGAGGGGUGGCUGGAAAGUAACAGAGCUGAGCCUUUCCCGCUGGAGUAAGGCUCAGUACUGGGUUACAAGUCUUGACAAGACGCUACCCUGGGAGACAGACUUAUGCAUCCUUCCAUGCCUGCCACCUGACACUGCAGUUCUGUUUUUCCAGCUUGCAUUUAUGCUGCUGGUAUGUCUGUGAACCUCUUUCAUGCUUGAACCCUCUGGAAGAGCAGCCAGUGUUCUUAACCGCAGAGCCAUCUCUCCAGCGGGCAGCUAACGUUUUUUUCAGUGCGUUCAGCAUUUUAUAGAGUUCACAGGGCAGACGUGCAGACUCAGAGCAGAUGGUGCAAAGAGGACCAGGCAGCGACUGCAACAUGGACGAAGGAAAGCUAGGAAGAGCAGCGGGGAUGGAAUCAGAGGCUCUCUUCCCUUGCCGCCACAUUCCAUUUCUUCCAGAAACAUCCCCGUCUCCCCACUGAGCCAUUGAAUCAGAUGCUUUUAUCCAUUGACUGAAGGGCGGUUUUUGUUUCUGUUUUCUGUAAUAAAGGUGGGUGGUAUUCUCAAGGGAGUCUCAGAUUUCUAUAUGGAGAGAGCCUAAAACUGUUUGACUAAGGCUGAGGAAGCUCCAAAUAGGAAGUGGUAUUUGGACUCCGGCUUUAAGAGUAAUUCUGAAGCCAGGCCAUGAAUGCAUGACUUUGAGCCCAGCACUUGGGAGGAAGAGGCUGGUAGAUCUCUGUGAGUUCAAGGACAAUCAGGGCAACAUAAUGAGAACCUGUCUCAAAAGAAAAAAAAGAGCAACUCUCAGUUCACCAAUCAUGCUUGCUCAGGGAUUCCUAGGACCGUGAGUUGUAACUACCCAUCUUAGGCAAGAACAAAAUGAAAGAAAAGAUCGAAAGACAGAAAGAGAAGAGAGGAGAAAGAGAGAAAGGAGGAACAGAGGAGGAGAGGAAGAGGAAGGAAGGAAGAAAGAAGGAAAGAAGGAAAGAAGGAAAGAAAGAAAGAAAGAAAGAAAGAAAGAAAGAAAGAAAGAAAGAAAGAAAGAAAGAAAGAAAGAAAGGAAAAGUAACAGUCUCACCAUUGACCAUUUUCCUUACACAUCUGUGAAGGCUUAUUUUUCCCUAUAAGAUGUGAAAUAUAAAAUAAAAUAUACACAUUCUAGUUUUUAAUUGUUUUAUUGUUCGCAGUGGUCUUUAGGAUCAAUAACUUCAUCUUUUUACUAUUGAUAAAAAUGCAGUUGAAUGGGUCACAUGUUUCAUGGAUGACAUGAAUAUACAUUUAUGGUUUUUUUUUGUUUGACACACAUUUUCACUGUCACAAAUAAAGUUAUAGUCACCAUCAAAUCAUCAAA